rnacentral:rRNA from 1 species
UGGUGGAGUGAUUUGUCUGGUUAAUUCCGUUAACGAACGAGACCUUAACCUAUUAAAUAGUUAGUAAUUGAACAUGUUUUCAUUAUGUUAACAUCUGUUCUGCUAACUUCUUAGAGGGACUCUUCACUGAGAGAGUGAAUGGAAGUUUGAGGCAAAAACA